rnacentral:rRNA from 1 species
UAGGGAAUCUUCGGCAAUGGGGGGAACCCUGACCGAGCAACGCCGCGUGAGUGAAGAAGGUUUUCGGAUCGUAAAGCUCUGUUGUUAAGGAAGAACGAGUGUGAGAAUGGAAAGUUCAUGCUGUGACGGUACUUAACCUGAAAGCCACGGCUAACUACGUGCCAGCAGCCGCGGUAAUACGUAGGUGGCAAGCGUUGUCCGGAUUUAUUGGGCGUAAAGCGAGCGCAGGCGGUCAAUUAAGUCUGAUGUGAAAGCCCCCGGCUCAACCGGGGAGGGUCAUUGGAAACGGGUUGACUUGAGUGCAGAAGAGGAGAGUGGAAUUCCAUGUGUAGCGGUGAAAUGCGUAGAUAUAUGGAGGAACACCAGUGGCGAAGGCGACUCUCUGGUCUGUAACUGACGCUGAGGCUCGAAAGCGUGGGUAGCAAACAGG